GCGAGCCCGUCGCGGGCGACACUUGCCGCAGCUUAGCCGAGGGCCGCACCCUGCGGGACGCUCGGAUCUCAGGGCGCCCAGCGGCCCAGCCGCCCUGGUCAGCCGCCAGCCCUGGGCCCGGGUCCCCGUGUCCCAGAGCUCUGCCCCUGCCUCCACAGACCCCUGUCCAGCCCGGCACCGCCCUCUGUGGCGAGGCGCCGGACUCACCGAGCGCGCCCCGCAGGGCCCAGGGCCCGCACUCCCGCGCGCGCCGCACCGACGAGGCUGGAGCGGGAGCGGCUGUGGCGGUGGCCGGGCCGCGGCGGCGCGGGGAGGGGCCCCGAGGAGACAGCCUGCUCCACUCUUGCGGCAACAGUCCCUGACGUCCUGGUGGAGAGGCAAUGAGGACACAGGAGACAGAUGCUGAGAUUAAGAAAGGUAAAGCGACUUGACUGCAGUCACAAGUAAGUGGUGAAAUCAGACUGAAACCCAUAUGUCUCUUAACACUCUACCCCUGCUGCUGAAGAUCAUAACUGGCAUCUCUAUUUCUUCCCUUCCUUGGGAAGCCAUAUGGUGGCUCUACCAUCCCUGUGUUACCUCAAUCACCACCAACCGACUAUUACUCCAGUCUCUCUUAUUCCUGCCUCGACUGACCUUGGAAGAAGAGGACACCCUCAUCUUGGCAUUCCCCACGGUGACAUUCCACAGCUGCAUCCACUGGGGAUGGAAUUCCAGGAAACUCUUCUUGGAGCAACUUAGGAUAUCCUUUCUCUUUCUUCUCCGGAGGGUACACCCAGACUUUGUCCCCCUGCAUAUAAAUCACUCUAUUUUUAACUGUGCACCUCCACAUGCUGCCAUUCUGCAUUUACACACAACAUCUUUGAUAUAUUGCAUCUAUACAAUGUCCUCCUGUAGGUCUACACACUUUCGAUCCACCUGUGGAUAACAAUGUGCUGACCCCUUGCACAAAUACUAGUAUGUGCAAAUCCCACCACUGUUGCUAUAAUACAUGCACACAUCUGGCUGUGUACAACCAGAGACUCCCAUGGCACACUUAUCUGUAACACCAUUAGUCUUGGCAAACACAUCCACACAUAGUCAUCCUGCAGUCAUCCAUCCAUUCAUACAUUCAUUUGUUUAUCUAUGUAUUCAUCCAUUCACUCAAGAAACAGUUGCUAAAUGACUACCAUAUGCCAGAUAUUGUGAAAGGCACUGAGGAUAAAAGGAUAACAAGAUUGUCUCUGCCUUCAAAGAGUUCACUGUAGAAAAGCAGAAAGGAUCCUACAAUCCUAGCCAUGCAGCCACCAAAGUGGAAACAUGUGAAGUGCAUUGGGAAUAUAGGCAGAGUGUUUAAGCUUACUUAGAGAAUUCCUGGAAGCCUUCACAGAGGAGGAAGCAUUUAGGCCUGAGUAGGAAUUUUUCAGGUGGACAAGUGUGGAAAGGGUGUUACCAGCAGAGGGAGCAGAGGGAGCAGCCAGCACAAAGCCUGCACAAACAACUACAUGUAGUCUCAUGUAGCUGGCACACAGUGAAUGUGGUGGGGGAGGAGAAAAGCUUGGAAAGAUAACCAAAGGCCAGAACUCGAGCCCCAUGUGUACCUGACUUGUAGGAAUUGGCACAGUGUGGUACCACUUAGUGAAACAGGGGACACAGCAGGAAGGGUAGGUUUGUGAGAAAGAUACUAAGUUCAGUUUGGGAGAUAUUGAAUUUGAGGUGCUACAGAACAUCUAAGUCGAAGAUGUCUGCAGGAAAUAGGAACGAGAUGUCUGGAGCUCUGGGAGAUAUCCAGAUCUGGUGUCCACAACACAGAGAGUCCUCAGAGCUGUAGCAAUGGUUGAGAUCACCCAGGGAGGGUAUAUCUGGGACAGAUCUCCAAGGAACAUACAGGGACUGGCUGAGGAUAAGAGCAAGAAAGAGGCAGGAGGGGAAAUCAAGCUGGCAGCGAGGGCUGCCCCAAGCACACAGCACCUUAUGCAAAUUAGGAGAAGGCACCCCUUCCUCUGAGCAGACAUAGCCUGGGCCAGGGCAUGGGACUUGGUGAGCACAGAAGACUUGAUUUCAUCUUCCACUCACACCCUAGUCAGAUGCCAUUGUUAUGAACAGCCUGGCCACCAUACAAAGAGUACUUGAUGCAGAGUCAUGGAAAUCAAGGGAAGAAAUUACCAGGAAGGAAAGGAUGGCCAAAAGCAUCAGGAGUAGCAGAGAAGUCUGUAUAAAGAUUGGGCCUGAAGAAUAGCCCCUGGAUGCUGUGCCUGCCAGGCCCACAUGCACAUACACUCGCUUGGCUUGAGCUUCUUCAGGAAAAUAAGGCACAGGGGGAGGAAGUCUGGAACCUACAGGUAAGGAGUCCAUGCUAGGGCCACCUGUGGGAGGCUCUAUAAUGUCCAUUCUAGCCCUUCCCGGCCCAGCCCUGACCUUGGCCCAGAAGUACCUUGAUCAGGAAGACACUGUUGUGACCACGGCGGAAUGCAGCAUCCACAGGGCUGGUGAAAUUCUUCCACCUCUCUGAGAUUAACUCCCGGACCCAUUUGUGACUCUUCCACACGAACUCCCCUGAAAAACACACACUCACUGAGGGACCCAGAACAAACAUUUGGCCUACUGAGAUAGUUACAGAGAAGCUGUGUGUGAUACCCUCAGAUAAUUUCUGAGAUCUUCCACAGACAGAUACACCCUCGGUGAAUGGGACCAAGUCUGAAGUCCCAAAUGCCCCAAACCCAGCCCCUCCUACCUUUAAAAAAGAGCAUGGCCCCAUGUUCAUCCAGGGUGGUAGCAUCAAAGCUCCAGCCAUCCGAACAGGGUUCUGGGAUGGAGGUGGGGAGAUGCAAGUAAAAGACCAGUCAGGUAAUACAAUGCAGAGACACAGACAGACAGACAGAUUCAGGGAGUUGGGGCCUCACCUGUCACAUCUGGGUUCACUCUGGCCCCACUCCCACCUUCAGCUCCGUUCCCAGGGGUACCAUCCCUAGAGACAAGACAGAUAGUUGUCUGGAUCCACUGGGCCAAAUCCCUCUCCUUUAGCUCCUGUCUUCAAACUUGCAGGGCCCUAAAAACUGGCCCUAUCCCACUUUAGCCCAGUCCCCAAUCCUUCCCCAACCCCAGCUUUACUCACGGAGGAAGAGGGUGGGCAAGGGUCAGAGACCAGCACAGGCCCAACAACCCCAGUGCAACUGGUACGCCCAGUGCACGAGCCAUGCUGAGAUGCCACAGGAUAGCUCUGGGCACCUGGAUGAGCCCCCUAUAUAGAGAUGGCAGCAGCACCACCCCCACCACGAGCCUGCUGAAACUCCAAGUCCUGUCUGUCAGAACUAUGCCAAUAUUGGCUGAUUACAUCAGCGCAAAUAAGGUCAGGGUCUGGACAGAAAUCUGAGUCCAAGACUAACUCUUCCCGGCAAGAGGCCCCAUCCCCCUUCAAUGACUUUUGAGCAGUAACUAGCCCCUGCCAUUGAUGCCCAGUUGUGACUCUCAUCACCUUGGUGAUGGGUCCAGGUGCCCAUAAGGUCAAGGAAGGGCAUAGAUGGAUUGAGAAGCACCUUUCUGUGGUUGGAUUUACCUCUAUAAUGGGGGAGGAGAGAAGAGGAAAUUACCACUUUUGUGUACUAAGUGUCAAGCCCUGCUCUAAGAUAGCUAAAGACACUGAUACACAUAUUUAGCAAGCAGACAUUCAUACAAACAUACUUAGACAUACUCAGAGAACAGCUUUUUUCCAAGCUUUAUCAAGGGUCUUUCUGGGGGCAUUCCCAAAUCUCUUCAGCUUUGCCCUUAAUGGGUCAAUAAUAUUUCGCUGUCGCCAAAUGUCCAAGUCCUGCCCCCAGCCCCACCCCUACUGGCAAAGAGCUUUGAAAAAUCACCUGGGAGGGAAGGGCUAAAUGGGGCAGAAAGAGGUGUCUCUCUCCCAGAUUGCAUUUCUAGUAAUUAGUCUUUCUUGGUAGUUUCCACCUUAAGGGAAAAGUACUUUAUUUACCCAUCACAGAAUAAAUAGAACUGUAACUGGGGUUUCACAAUAUUUACUGCUGAGUCUUGCUUAAAUGCUAUCUUCUGAAUGAAGUCUUUCUCGACCACCUUAUCUAGCCAUUUCAGACACUUGCAUAUUUCCUUUAUGUCACUUAUUAAAUCUUGAAAUUAUUUCAUCUA